rnacentral:rRNA from 1 species
GCUUGCACUAAAUGAAACUAGAUACAAGCGAGCGGCGGACGGGUGAGUUAACACGUGGGUAACCUGCCCAAGAGACUGGGAUAACGACCUGGAAACAGAUGCUAAUACCGGAUUAACAACACGUAGACGCCAUAGUCUAGAGUUUGAAAGAUGGUUCUGCUAUCACUCUUGGAUGGACCUGCGGUGCAUUAGCUAGUUGGUAAGGUAACGGCUUACCAAGGCAAUGAUGCGAUUAGCCCGAGUUGAGAGACUGAUCGGCCACAUUGGGACUGAGACACGGCCCAAACUCCUACGGGAGGCAGCAGUAGGGAAUCUUCCACAAUGGACGAAAGUCUGAUGGAGCAACGCCGCGUGAGUGAAGAAGGGUUUCGGCUCGUAAAGCUCUGUUUGGUAGUGAAGAAAGAUAGAGGUAGUAACUGGCCUUUAUUUGACGGUAAUUACUUAGAAAGUCACGGCUAACUACGUGCCAGCAGCCGCGGUAA